rnacentral:rRNA from 1 species
AAGAGGUCCACGGAAUUACCCGAGUAGGGUGAAUCCGAAUACGGUAGGAACGCCGGUGGAGAAGUUUUCCUAAAAGGAAGGGGACCUAACGCUGAGGGCCGAAAGCUAGGGGAGCAAACCGGAUUAAAUACCCGGGUAGUCCUAGCCGUAAACGAUGCUCCCUAGGGGUAGGGAGUGAUAAACUCUCUGUGAUGAAGCGAACGCGCUAAAUGACCCGCCUG